UACGUAGGGGGCAAGCGUUGUCCGGAGUUACUGGGCGUAAAGCGCGCGCAGGCGGCGGUGCUGGCCCGGCGUGAAAGCCCCCGGCUCAACCGGGGAGGGUCGUCGGGGACCGCACCGCUUGAGGGCGGUAGGGGCUGGUGGAAUGCCUGGUGUAGUGGUGAAAUGCGUAGAGAUCAGGCGGAACACCCGUGGCGAAGGCGGCCAGCUGGGCCGUCCCUGACGCUGAGGCGCGAAGGCGUGGGGAGCGAACGGG
rnacentral:rRNA from 1 species